ACCGCGAAAGCUCAGCUAGCAGAGCAUCGGCCCGGUAUGCGGAGGGUCGCCGGUUCUAUUCCGGCUCGCGGCG
rnacentral:tRNA from 1 species